rnacentral:rRNA from 1 species
UGAACGCUGGCGGCAUGGAUUAGGCAUGCAAGUCGAACGUGACCGCAGUCUUCGGACUGCGCGAAAGUGGCGAAAGGGUGAGUAACACGUGAGCAAUCUGCCCCCGAGUCCGGAACAGCCCACGGAAACGUGGAUUAAUGCCGGAUGCGGAGUGGAAACCGCAUGGUUUCCCCUCCAAAGUUUUUUCGCUCGGGGAUGAGCUCGCGCCCCAUUAGCUUGUUGGCGGGGUAACGGCCCACCAAGGCUAUGACGGGUAGGUGGUCUGAGAGGACGAUCACCCACACUGGGACUGAGACACUGCCCAGACUCCUACGGGAGGCUGCAGUCGAGAAUCUUCCGCAAUGGGCGAAAGCCUGACGGAGCGAUGCCGCGUGGGGGAUGAAGGCCCUUGGGUCGUAAACCCCUGUCAGAGGGGACGAAAUUUGACGGUACCCUCAGAGGAAGCCACGGCUAACUAC